AAAAAGGAAGAGUUUUCGAAGCUCAGGUGUACGGAAACAGACAAGAGAGGAGAGAAAGAAGGAAUAGGGAGAUUUGUUUUCAGACCAUAUCCAAAG